rnacentral:rRNA from 1 species
UACGUAGGUGGCAAGCGUUGUCCGGAAUUAUUGGGCGUAAAGCGCGCGCAGGCGGUCCUUUAAGUCUGAUGUGAAAGCCACGGCUCAACCGUGGAGGGUCAUUGGAAACUGGGGGACUUGAGUGCAGGAGAGAAGAGUGGAAUUCCACGUGUAGCGGUGAAAUGCGUAGAUAUUGGGAGGAACACCAGUGGCGAAGGCGGCUCACUGGACCGGUACUGACGCUGAGGCGCGAAAGCGUGGGGAGCAAACGGG